rnacentral:rRNA from 1 species
CCAAGUCGAGCCGGACCGACGGGAGCCUUGCUCCCUUAGUCAGCGGCGGACGGGUGAGUAACACGUGGGUAACCUGCCUGUAAGACUGGGAUAACUCCGGGAAACCGGGGCUAAUACCGGAUGCUUGAUUGAACCGCAUGGUUCAAUCAUAAAAGGUGGCUUUUAGCUACCACUUACAGAUGGACCCGCGGCGCAUUAGCUAGUUGGUGAGGUAACGGCUCACCAAGGCGACGAUGCGUAGCCGACCUGAGAGGGUGAUCGGCCACACUGGGACUGAGACACGGCCCAGACUCCUACGGGAGGCAGCAGUAGGGAAUCUUCCGCAAUGGACGAAAGUCUGACGGAGCAACGCCGCGUGAGUGAUGAAGGUUUUCGGAUCGUAAAACUCUGUUGUUAGGGAAGAACAAGUACCGUUCGAAUAGGGCGGCACCUUGACGGUACCUAACCAGAAAGCCACGGCUAACUACGUGCCAGCAGCCGCGGUAAUACGUAGGUGGCAAGCGUUGUCCGGAAUUAUUGGGCGUAAAGCGCGCGCAGGCGGUUUCUUAAGUCUGAUGUGA